GAUGAACGCUGGCGGCGUGCCUAAUACAUGCAAGUCGAGCGAACGGACGAGAAGCUUGCUUCUCUGAUGUUAGCGGCGGACGGGUGAGUAACACGUGGAUAACCUACCUAUAAGACUGGGAUAACUUCGGGAAACCGGAGCUAAUACCGUAUGAUAUUUUGAACCGCAUGGUUCAAAAGUGAAAGACGGUCUUGCUGUCACUUAUAGAUGGAUCCGCGCUGCAUUAGCUAGUUGGUAAGGUAACGGCUUACCAAGGCAACGAUGCAUAGCCGACCUGAGAGGGUGAUCGGCCACACUGGAACUGAGACACGGUCCAGACUCCUACGGGAGGCAGCAGUAGGGAAUCUUCCGCAAUGGGCGAAAGCCUGACGGAGCAACGCCGCGUGAGUGAUGAAGGUCUUCGGAUCGUAAAACUCUGUUAUUAGGGAAGAACAGAUGUGUAAGUAACUGUGCACAUCUUGACGGUACCUAAUCAGAAAGCCACGGCUAACUACGUG
rnacentral:rRNA from 1 species